CUCUCCCCUGCUCCUCUCUCUCUCAGGUCUACUCUAAUCUCUACCAUCUGUGUUCAGGUCUGGGUUCUGCUCUCCCCUGCUCCUCUCUCUCUCAGGUCUACUCUAAUCUCUACCAUCUGUGUUCAGGUCUGGGUUCUGCUCUCCCCUGCUCCUCUCUCUCUCAGGUCUACUCUAAUCUCUACCGUCUGUGUUCAGGUCUGGGUUCUGCUCUCCCCUGCUCCUCUCUCUCUCAGGUCUACUCUAAUCUCUACCGUCUGUGUUCAGGUCUGGGCUCUGCUCUCCCCUGCUCCUCUCUCUCUCAGGUCUACUCUCUACCAUCU